rnacentral:miRNA from 12 species
AUAUAUAUAUAUGUGUAUAUAUGUGUGUGUGUGUGUGUGUGUGUGUGUAUAUAUAUAUACGUGUAUAUAUACACACAUAAAUAUCUAAACAGAAUA